GAUGAAGAACGUAGCGAAAUGCGAUAAGUAAUGUGAAUUGCAGAAUUCAGUGAAUCAUCGAAUCUUUGAACGCACAUUGCGCCCGCCAGUAUUCUGGCGGGCAUGCCUGUUCGAGCGUCAUUACAACCCUCAGGCCCCCGGACCUGGCGUUGGGGAUCGGCGGAGCCCCCCGUGGGCACACGCCGUCCCCAAAAUACAGUGGCGGUCCCGCCGCAGCUUCCAUCGCGUAGUAGCUAACACCUCGCGACUGGAGAGCGGCGCGGCCACGCCGUAAAACACCCAACUCUUCUGAAGUUGACCUCGAAUCAGGUAGGAAUACCCGCUGAACUUAAGCAUAUCAAUAAGCGGAGGA
rnacentral:misc_RNA from 1 species